UACGGAGGGAGCUAGCGUUGUUCGGAAUUACUGGGCGUAAAGCGCACGUAGGCGGCUUUGUAAGUUAGAGGUGAAAGCCCGGAGCUCAACUCCGGAAUUGCCUUUAAGACUGCAUCGCUUGAAUCCAGGAGAGGUGAGUGGAAUUCCGAGUGUAGAGGUGAAAUUCGUAGAUAUUCGGAAGAACACCAGUGGCGAAGGCGACUUACUGGACAACUGUUGACGCUGAGGUGCGAAAGCGUGGGGAGCAAACAGG
rnacentral:rRNA from 1 species